GAUGAACGCUGGCGGCGUGCCUAAUACAUGCAAGUCGAGCGACAAGACGAGGAGCUUGCUCCUCUGACGUUAGCGGCGGACGGGUGAGUAACACGUGGAUAACCUACCUAUAAGACUGGGAUAACUUCGGGACACCGGAGCUAAUACCGGAUAAUAUAUUGAACCGCAUGGUUCAAUAGUGAAAGACGGUUUUGCUGUCACUUCUCGAUGGAUCCGCGCCGCAUUAGCUAGUUGGUAAGGUAACGGCUUACCAAGGCAACGAUGCGUAGCCGACCGGAGAGAGUGAUCGGCCACACUGGAGCUGAGACACGGUCCAGACGCCUACGAGAGGCAGCAGUAGGGAAUCUGCCGCAAUGGUCGAAAGCCUGACGGAGCAACGCCGCGUGAGUUAUGAAGGUCUUCGGAUCGUAAAACUCUGUUAUUAGGGAAAAACAAAUGUGUAAGUAACUAUGCACGUCUUGACGGUACCUAAUCAGAAAGCCACGGCUAACUACGUG
rnacentral:rRNA from 1 species